AUAUGUAAAACAUAUUGAACCUAAAACAUCUUUUAAAGAUUUCAUAUUAUGGACGGGAUGUUAUGUCCAACAAGUUACACAUAUAUAAAUA
rnacentral:sRNA from 1 species